rnacentral:rRNA from 1 species
UGUAUGUGUUCACCGUACAUGGCAACUGAGUUAAUGUAUUCAAACACAAACAAAAUUGCAUGCGCCCAAACGACAAUGCUUUUGCCCACAACCGCUACCCUUUUGUGCCGGACUGAACUUUUGUUCACAAGUAUGGUAGAAGUGUUAGUUUCCUUAUAGGAUGCAAAUCUGUACAACUCUCUCUUGAGGACAUCAAAUUCACAAGUGCACUUAUGAACAAGAAACUUGCCUUCUUUUGCCUCCAUAAUGGAUCAAAUAAGCAGUGAAGAAGCUUGUAUCAUCCAUCUGAAAAAUGCACUUGAGAUACAUCAGCAAGGAACUGCACAACACAUCUUUUGAAGGAAAAAGAAAUUCAAACCGAACACUCAACAUCUGGGAACUGCACGCGGGGAGGAGGGGCAGCUCGUCGGGGGGCAGAGAUCCACCGGUGCUGCGCCACACCGGCGAUUUUUGUGCACUGCGUCAGAAAGUAGGGGCUCGACGUGGGGAGGGAGGUCGGCCGUCACGGGGCACGGCCGUGACCAUCGAGGCCGGCAAUCGUGGGGGCAGCCCGGCUGGAUCCGGAUGCACUGGUGCGGGGGAGGCGGCUCAUCCGCUCGUCGGUGCGGAUUCGGCGCCCGACGGAUCGGGCCGAGGCGGCGCGAUGGAUGGGGUGGGGCGCAUGGCGGGGCAGUAGCCAUGGCUGGAGCGGGGCUGGGCCGGGCCAUCGCUAGGCGACGCUGUAGAUCAGAGGCGCGCGGGGGAGAUGCGGGGUGGCGCCGGACGGGGGGAGUAGAAGGCGACGCAGCUCUGGACGGGAGGAGGACGAGGCGAGGCGCCGCCGGAUGGGAGGAGUAGGAGGCGGGCGGCUCUAGGCAGGUGGAGGAGGAGGCGGGGAGACGCCGGGCGGGUGGAGGAGGAUGUGGGGCAGCGCCGGACGAGAGGUGUAGGAGGCGGGGCGGCUUUUGACGAAAGGAGGAGGAGGUGGGGAGACGCC